GAAUGAUUUCUGAAAACUAUGCAUUGAUUUCUGAAAAAUUUUGCAUUUACAUUGUCAUGCAUAUCGAUAUAUGUGAAAUUGGCCUAUUUGUUUACUUUUUGUUAUCUUUCUAAAUUAUGUGAUUUAUUUACUAUAAUGUUUUAAGUAAGACUCACACUGGGCUUAAGAAGUUCACCCUCCAUUUCUUGACUUUUUAGAUAAUAAUUGAGGUUAAGACAUGGGCUUAGCUUACAGAGGUGCACUCAGAUAUAUUAGUAUAAAC
rnacentral:lncRNA from 1 species